rnacentral:rRNA from 1 species
AUUGAACGCUGGCGGUAGGCCUAACACAUGCAAGUCGAGCGGCAGAAGGGAGCUUGCUCCUGGAUUCAGCGGCGGACGGGUGAGUAAUGCCUAGGAAUCUGCCUGGUAGUGGGGGAUAACGUCCGGAAACGGGCGAUCAUACCGCAUACGUCCUGAGGGCGAACGUGGGGGAUCUUCGGACCUCCCGAUAUUAGAUGAGCCGAGGUCGGAUUAGCUAGUUGGUGGGGUAAAGGCCUACCAAGGCGACGAUCCGUAGCUGGUCUGAGAGGAUGAUCAGUCACACUGGAACUGAGACACGGUCCAGACUCCUACGGGAGGCAGCAGUGGGGAAUAUUGGACAAUGGGCGAAAGCCUGAUCCAGCCAUGCCGCGUGUGUGAAGAAGGUCUUCGGAUUGUAAAGCACUUUAAGUGGGGAGGAAGAGCAGUAAGUUAAUACCUCGCUGUUUUGACGGUACCAACAGAAUAAGCACCGGCUAACUUCGUG